rnacentral:lncRNA from 1 species
UUAAAAUUGAAUUUCGAGCAAAAGAAAAAUUGUUUACCUUUUUUGGCGAUCGGAAAAAGCUCCGGUGUGGCGGCGGGUGGCGGCGGUGUCCUUCCGGUGGCCGGGUCUUCUUCUCCGGCGAGGGAGUCUGGCAACUAGGGUUAGGGUUUGGUGUGGAUGAGGGUUAUUUAUAUCCGUUCGCUUUUGAUCUGUAUCAUCUAUCGCGUUUGAUCUGGACCGUCCGAUCGCGAUUAAAUAGGGAGUGAAUCUGGAUCGUU